AGUGAUGAGCCACUGCUUUCCAGGAGCUCAGCUGGACUGUGAUCUCACUAUGUCUAUCCACUGUGAACUGCUGAUACUGAUCCUUACACUGACUCUUGGCGGUCAAGUUCAUACAGGGGAAGUCAUUGGAGGUCAUGAGGCUGUGCCACAUAGCAGACCCUACAUGGUGCUUUUGGAGCGCCACAUGCAGCAUGGUAAAACCAAACACUGCGGUGGCUUCCUUUUGAGUGAGGACUUUGUGAUGACUGCAGCCCACUGCCAAGCCAGUUCCUACACAGUCUUACUAGGAGUUGACAAUUUCCGCAACAGUAAUGGAGUGCAGCAUAUAUCUGUGGACCAAGCAUUUCCACGUAAAGACUACAAUGAAACUGAUUUUAGUAAUGACAUCAUGCUUCUCAAGUUGCGCUCCAAGGCAAAAUUUAACAAAAAUGUGAGACCUAUUGCUCUCGCAGGCCAAGGUGAUGGCUCUCUGCCAAAAUCAUGUAUAGUCUCCGGCUGGGGAAGAACAAACAAGGAUAUAAGUUAUAUGUCUGUUGUACUCAUGGAAGUCAAUGUAACACUGACUGAGCGGUGUCCUAAUACCAACUUGUACUGCUCUGAGGGAGAAACUGGACCUGGCAAGGGAGACUCCGGAGGUCCGCUGGUCUGUGAAGAUGGAAAGGCGUACGGUGUUGUGUCCCAUAACUUUCGACCACACUCAGGUGACCCAGAAAUCCAUUGUUUCGCUAAGAUUCCUGACUACAGAAGCUGGAUCAAAUUGAUCAUGCCAAAUGAAUGAAAAACCUUUAAAAUGAUGAAAUCACAAGAUUUCAAGUUUGUAUAACAUUGGAGAGCUGAUAAUUGAGAUGCUAAAAUCAUAACCUAUUCCAUAGCCAUGAGACUAUUCCAAAGACUGGACUUGCUUACUUUAUCCAGAUUAAUUUCAAAUGUGCUUCACGUUGACAUUACCAAAUGAUAGAAAAUGACCUGUUUGAGAAAGUGAUUCAAAAGAGUGAAAAUAUAUUAAUGUAAUUUAGUUUAUGUUUGGGAUCUUUUCAUCAUACAGCUGUUUUUUUGUGUUGCUGGGGGCUUUGAACUUGACAUUUUAUUUGAAUAAACAUUAAUCCAAGAGAAUUUGACCCAGGCACAUGCAGGUUUAAAAAAAAAUCAUGACACAUUAAUUAGACUUAUAAUAGACUCAAUACUGUUUAAUAAAUGUAAUAUCUUCAGACAAUCUACGUCAUCCUGCUUAUAAAUAUAACAGUAUUUGCAUUACAUUACUGCUUGUGCAUCUUCUUUUUGACUUGAUGAAAUGAUCUUUUAAGUUUGUUUUGUGCCGUCGUUUUAAACAAUAAACUGUUGUUCUCCGAGUA